UGGGGGAUAUUGCACAAUGGGCGAAAGCCUGAUGCAGCGACGCCGCGUGGGGGAUGAAGGCCUUCGGGUUGUAAACUUCUUUUGCUCUGAACAAGGCGCACCAUGGGGUGUGUUGAGUGUAGGGGUUGAUUAGCGCCGGCUAACUACGUGCCAGCAGCCGCGGUAAUACGUAGAGCGCGAGCGUUGUCCGGAAUUAUUGGGCGUAAAGGGCUUGUAGGUGGCUGGUUGCGUCUGUCGUGAAAGCUCAUGGCUUAACUGUGGGUUUGCGGUGGGUACGGGCUGGCUUGAGUGCAGUAGGGGAGGCUGGAAUUCCUGGUGUAGCGGUGGAAUGCGCAGAUAUCAGGAGGAAUACCGGUGGCGAAGGCGGGUCUCUGGGCUGUUACUGACACUGAGGAGCGAAAGCAUGGGGAGCGAACAGG
rnacentral:rRNA from 1 species